UCUCUUACAAAAGUCAGACCUUUUUUUUUAACCCAUUUCUUCCAUUCUGUUUAAAACAAAAAAGAAAAAAAAAAAGAGCUUUCAUUCUCUCAACCCUCCCCAAAAUCCGGCCUAAGGUCCGGCCGUGGCCACCCCCGCAGCGCCGCCGUGGCCUGUGGCUGGCAUUACACAAAAGGGGGAUUUUUCAGCCCGUUUCAAACCUCGUUUGGAGGCCGAGUUUUCUUGGCCCGAAUGCCGAGAGAAAGGACCCUUCGCCCCGCCUUUAGAGCUGAUUUCGGCGACGGAGAGGCCUCCGACGACACGGCCGAGGGGCGCCCAGGUGGUGUUAGAGAAACAUCAAACGCGUGGAGAGGCGGUGGCGUGCGGCGAUGGGCAUGCGAGGAGGCCAUGCGCAGGCCUAAGGGCGGCAGCUAGGAGCUGCGGCCUCAUGUGGCUAGGUUUUUUAUUUUGCUGAAAAUUUUUAAGCUUGUGGGUUUGUUUAGUUUUGGGCUUGUUGGGUUAGGGUUAAUUUGUAAUUGGGCUGUUUGGGUUUGUUGUAAAUGGACUGUUAUUAUUUGGACUCUUAACUGGUUUUGGGCCCGGGCAGAAAUUGGGUCUUACAAAAUGGAUAGGUAUUCAAAAUCAAA